AUUUUCACCUUUUAGCGCCAAGUCUCAAAACCCCGAGCUCUUCUUCACAUGCACUAGGGUUUUGCUUCGCUACUGCGAUUCCACUAGAAGAAAAUGGUAACGGGAUCAGCAUUGGCUGGGAAGGAAGUUCCCGUUGCCGGAAGCGACGCCGUUCGCUGGAUCGAUCUCCACGUUCCUUCUUCCUCCAACAUUGUCGCCGUCAAUGGCGACGCCGCUUCUACUACCACCUCCGACCGCGCCUCCUGCUUCGUCGUCGGAGAUCCUCCUACCUAUCUCAUCUGGAGAAUUCACAAGGCUCUACCUCACUCUCUCGAGUUGCUUGAACUCGCUGCUUCGAAGGAAUUCCCUCGCGUGGGACUCAGAUUCACUUUCCCCGACGCGCUUUGCCCCUUCGCGUUCAUAUGCAAAAACGAGAUUUCUGGUGCUUCUAGAUUCCCUUACUUGCUCUAUGUGUUGACUGUCUCUGGCGUCGCGUACCUCUUGAGAAUUCGAAAUAUUUCUGCAUAUGCGUCCAUUUCCAUUGUUCCUGUGGACGAGCUUCUGGAGGUUAAUGUGCGUGGUUAUAUUGCCAAUCACGCGGCAGCGAUAACUGCUGUGACAGCCACUGCCGGGGGUCUUGUUGUUGGCACGAGUGAUGGUUCUGUUUUCUGUUUCCAACUCGGUGUUCUAGACCCCAGUGCUCCUGGUUUUGUUCAUGAGCUGAGAGACGAAGCUGGAAUCACACGCUUGUGGGGUUUAAUACCACGGGGGAAAAUGGUAGGUACUGUACAGGAGUUGGUAAUUUUGGAGUUGCACGACAAAAAGUUUGUGUUUGUUCUUCAUUUGGAUGGGACUUUACGUAUUUGGGAUCUUGCAUCUCACAGCAGGGUCUUUAGCCAUAACAUGGGGACUAUGACAAUGACAGGUGCUAACUUUGUGAGGUUAUGGGUGGGUCAAUCUUACCCAGAUAUCGGCAUAAUUCCUUUGGCAAUUUUAUUUCGAGACACAUUGGAUGAAAAUUUGGAGACGAUCUCUUUGUGUAGUAUCCUGUAUAAUAUUGGGGAUAAAAUCGUGUUUUCUAUGGAGUCUUCAGUGCAAAACAUUCCCUUGGAGGAGGGAAGAUGCCUUGAUGUUAAAUUAACAUUGGAGAAGAUAUGGAUAUUGAAGGAUGAUGAAUUAGUAUCACACACGUUCUCUACAAAUACUGAUGAGGUAGAAGCAUUUUCUUAUGCUUUACAGGAGGAAUUUGUUGCUGAUCAACUAUUUCAAAGUUCAGAGCAUCUUGCAGAUGAAAUUUUACAGAUCACACAUUCAAUGUUUUCAUCUUCAAAGGAUGAUAUUUUACCUUUUGUAUCUUGUGUUUUCUUAAGAAGGUUGCUUCUUUCGGGGGUUCAUCAUAAUGCUACUUUGUAUGCAACUAUAGUUGAGUAUAGCAGGCAUUUGGGUGAAUCUGAGUUGCAUACAUUAACUGCUGAUGGGAUAAAGAAGGAGAUACUUUCCAUCAUAGAACAUGAGGUUGGAUCUGAAAAGGUCUCUUUGUUGCACUGCUGGAAAAUUUUUUUCAACUGCUAUUUCCAUAAUUGGUGCAAGAACAAUGCAUUGUAUGGUUUGCUUGUUGAUUCCUCUUCUGAUGCCAUUGGUUUAAUCAGAAGAAGUUCCAUUUCACUUUUUCGGUCUUUGGAAGAUAUUGAACGGAUCGUGGAGGGCUCUUCAGAUGAUGUUAGUGAGCUCACAGGCCUCAUGGAUAUCUUUGAUGAUGAUCUGGAGUGUGAAAUUCUAAUUGACUUGCUCAGAUGUGUCAUGAGUUUCAGCCAACAGUUGGGCAAAACUGCUUCUUCUAUAUUUUAUGAAUCUCUUUUUACUACACCGUUGAUCUCUUCUGAAGAUAUCAUUCGCUAUGUUGUAAAGAUUUUAGAAACUGGAUAUUGUAUGUCAGGUCCAGUGUUCCAAACAUCUACUUCUGGUAAUCAUGUAGUUGUUCUGGAAAAGGAGCUGACAGAUCAUAAAAGUUUGAGGAAACUUUCCGUGGAUAUGUUUUUGUCACUUCAAAGCUUGUACAAAAAGGCUUCCGCAUGGGGCAGGAUUUUAAAUGUAAUUGAGUGUUUCCUGAAAUUUUUGGUUCCGAAGAAAGUAAUACAAAAUUUUAAUACUGAAGUAUCAUCAAGCAUCAAUUCUUCCGUUAUAGUACAUACUACUUAUCAGAUUGCAAAAGUGAUGUUUGAAUCUGCCUGGGACUUUCUUCUAUUUCUAAGCUAUUUGGUGGACAUCAGUGGCCAGGUCCAUUUGACCCAUGAUGAUAUAAACAAAGUACAGCUUGAGUUAGUUCCGAUGCUUCAAGAAAUAAUUUUUGAAUGGCUGAUCAUCAUCUUCUUUACGAUCACACCAUCUUCACUGGCUGUAACCGAGGAUUUCAAUUCUAAACUUUCAUCACUACAAAUAGAUAACAACAUGGGGAAAAGAUUGCUGAAUGAGAACCUGGGCAGAUUUGACUUUACAUUGGCUUUUAUAUUCUUGCUCAAUGUUGAAAGUUCAUCCUUAAACCAUAGCCACUUUUCUUCAGAUCGCUUUUCAAAUGCACAGAGCUUAAUUAAUAGGGCAAGAGACUUCAUCAAUUGGAUCAUCUGGGGUCAGGCUGGAGAAUCUUCUACUUUCUUAACCCGUUCUAUUGAUCUUGCAAUUAUUCUUUUCAAACAUGGCCAGUUUGGUGCUGCUGAGCAAUUGCUUAUGAUUGCCGAAGCACAUUUACUAAAAGAGAAGACAUCCCAUAGUAUUCAAGAUGCUGAUGGUGGAUGGUGCAUACGUCAUCAUCUUCUAGGGUGUUGCCUACUUGCACAAGUGCAGUGUGGAUUACAUGCAGCCCAUAAGGAUAAAAAAGUUUCUGAUGCCAUUCGCUGUUUCUUUAGGUCUUCAUCUGGAAAUGGUGCAUCUGAGGCUCUGCAGAGUUUAUCAGAUGACUUAGGAAUUAUAUACCUUGGUUUUAGUGGUUGUACAUCAAUUGCUACAUGGAAGCUUCAAUAUUAUCAAUGGGCAAUGCAGUUAUUUGAACGUUAUAGCAUUAGUGAGGGUGCUUGCCAGUUUGCACUUGCUGCGCUUGAGCAAGUUGAUGAGGCUCUAUAUAUGAAAGAUGACAUCCGCACAAACAACUCAGUUAAUGAAUCAGUGACAACCAUCAAAGGACGACUAUGGGCAAAUGUUUUCAUAUUUGCUUUAGACCUUGGUCGAUAUUAUGAUGCAUAUUGUGCAAUAAUUUCAAAUCCAGAUGAGGAGAGUAAAUACAUUUGCCUGAGACGAUUCAUAAUUGUUCUAUAUGAACAAGGAGCUAUAAAGAUUCUUUGCAGCAAUAGACUUCCCCUUAUUGGUUUAGUGGAGAAAGUGGAGCAAGAGCUUGCUUGGAAGGCUGAUCGAUCAGAUAUUUCUGCUAAGCCAAACUUGUACAAGUUGCUUUAUUCAUUUCAAAUGCACCGGCAUAAUUGGCGACGUGCAGCGAACUAUAUAUACAUGUAUUCUGCUCGUUUGAGAACUGAAGCAGCGUUGAAAGAUAGUGUAGGCAAUUCCUUGAUGUUGCAAGAGAGGCUGAAUGCACUCUCUGCUGCAGUCAAUGCACUACAUCUUGUUCAUCCUGCAUAUGCCUGGAUUGAUUCCUUGGUUGAGGGAAGUUCUCUUGUGAAUGAACAUUAUCCAAGUAAGAAAGCUAAAAGAACCCCAGAUGAACAUUCAGCAGCUGAUAAUGAUGCAGAGCCUCAAGGCUGGCAGUCCUCAAUUGAUAUUGAAAAACUUGAGAAUGAAUUUGUGCUAACUUCAGCAGAGUAUAUGUUGUCACUGGUAAAUGUCAAGUGGACAUUUUCUGGAAAACAUGGAGCUCUCUCAGACUUGGCUGAUCUUCUUGUCCAAAACAAUUUAUAUGAUAUGGCCUUUACAGUCGUUCUAAGAUUUUUCAAGGGUUCUGCACUGAAGAGGGAGAUGGAAAGAGUGCUAUCUGCUAUCUCACUGAAAUGCUGUCUUGACAAGGUGGAAUCCGCCUGGGUCGAGGAACGCAGUCAUUUACUGGCAUCAUCAAAGAAUGAGAUGGUAGUCCACGGUUCACCUAUUACAGUUUCCACAACUCCACGAACUGAAAGAAGCAACCAGUGGGCAACACUCAAGCUUUACCUUGAAAGGUAUAAGGAAUUUCACGGUAGAUUACCGAUUAUUGUUGCAGAGACUCUUCUACGUGCAGAUCCUAAUAUUGAAUUGCCUCUUUGGCUUGUGCAAUUGUUCAAGGAGGGUCAAAAGGAAAGGUUGUGGGGGAUGACUGGCAGGGAAUCAAAUCCUGCAUCUUUGUUUCAGCUUUAUGUUACCUAUGAUCGUUAUGCAGAUGCUACUUACCUUUUGCUUGAGUGCAUAGACUCAUUUGCCUCAAUGAGACCAGCAGAUAUAAUUAGAAGGAAAAGACCGUUUGCUGUUUGGUUCCCGUACACAACUAUUGAGCGGCUUUUGUACAGGCUAGACGAAUUAAUUAGAAUGGGUCACAUGGUUGAUCAUUGUGAGAAGCUCAAAAAGAUGUUACAUGGUUCUUUACAUAGUCAUCUCAAGAUGUUGAAGGUGGACUCAAAUGAUGCUGUUUCUGUAACUUCUUGAUUGCUACUUACACUGACCACUGGGAAGUUGUAGAUAAUGGUGGGAUCACAGCUCUUGAUUCUUUGCUCUGUUCAAUGCAUAAUAUCCAGUGAAAAGGCCGCAGCAAGUUGGCAUGGAGUGUAAAACUUUGGGGAUGAAAAAGCCAUGGGUGUGAAGGGUAUUUCCCUUUCUUUUACAACGAGAACAGGGCAAAAUAACUGAAUGAUAGUCAACGCCUAUCUGUCAAGAAUUGGAGAUGUAGUCCUUGAACAACCAUAUAAAAUUUGUAUAUGAUUUAUCUUCUGGAAAUUUUGGGCAAAGGUUGAUUGACUUUGUUUGAUAGAGUGCUAUGGCUAGAUAUGCAUAGUAGCUGUUCAACUGCUUGUAGGGAAAUUCCGCAUAGAAUGAUUAGUGGAGGAAUGUUACUCAUCUUUUCUUCCACUGAAGGUUGACGAAAAGUGUUGUAGUCCAAUUCCAGUUAGAGAACAUGGUCUGAUUUUGUAAUCUAGUUUAACAAUUAAUUAAUGAGCAACUUAACUAGGGAUAUCAAACCCUACUUGCCUACUAAAUGGCCAAGAAGAUCCCUUUGGUUUUUUUGUAAUACUGACUGUAAUAACUCAGGAUAGCGAUUUCUACUAUAAAAUUUGCAGCCCUACUGAAGCUAUUUA